CAAAGAUACACCAUAAGAGCGAUCAGACAUCCUCGUCAACAACUCAUUUCAUUUCAGGUGAAAACUUAAAAUGGAAACCAGCAAGGUCAUCUCAACUGACAAAGCUACAGUUGUCAUCCAAAUAAAUCCACAGAUGACACAAGAUGCUGUUACGUGUGAUGAUGGACAGGAGGCCAGAGGAGCAUAUCAUAAUACGACUCUCGCAGAAUUUUUCAAAACACAACCAAAGGCAUUGGGGACUGUCCAAAUAAUGAUUGGAGUGGUGAUUUUCUUAUUUGGUAUCAUACGCACCACAGUCUACCAUUACCGAGAUAUUUCUGUCAUUAGUGGCAUAACCUACUGGGGAUCCAUAGUUUACGUCAUUGCUGGAUCUCUGUCUGUUGCUGCGCAGAAUAAACUUCACCUGUGUGUGGUGAAAGCCUCUCUUGUAAUGAAUGUGAUCAGUGCCAUGACUGCAGGGAUAGCCAUUAUUAUGAUGUCCACGGUGAUAACUUUCAACUCAGAUGUCCAUGAAAGAUGCUACUAUGACUAUAAUCAGGACUACAAUCAUGGUUAUGGUUAUGAUUAUACCAAGCAAUUCUGUUCAGAUUACAAGACAUUUGAUCUGGGGAUCCUUGGAAUAUUGCUGGUGUUCUCCGUCCUUCAGUUCAUCAUCUCCAUCUGUAUCUCAGGAUUUGCCUGCAAAGCCACCUGCAGCAGCUCUACAGUGGUCAAUGUGGCACUAAACCAGGGAAACUGAGAGUGAAAGUGAUGAGAGCCAACAAUCCAAAUGUUGCAAGGAAUCAAUAUCUCAUAUUGUUUCAUCUAAUGAUUCAAGCAAGAUUUUUUUUUUUUUUUUUUUUGUAAUUGAAAACACAUUAAAUGACUUGUUUG